AGUGAACGCUGGCGGUAGGCCUAACACAUGCAAGUCGAACGGCAGCACAGUAAGAGCUUGCUCUUACGGGUGGCGAGUGGCGGACGGGUGAGGAAUACAUCGGAAUCUACUUUUUCGUGGGGGAUAACGUAGGGAAACUUACGCUAAUACCGCAUACGACCUACGGGUGAAAGCAGGGGAUCUUCGGACCUUGCGCGAUUGAAUGAGCCGAUGUCGGAUUAGCUAGUUGGCGGGGUAAAGGCCCACCAAGGCGCCGAUCCGUAGCUGGUCUGAGAGGAUGGUCACCGACACUGGAACUGAGACACGGUCCAGACUCCUGCGGUAGGCAGCAGUGGGGAAUAUUGGACAAUGGGCGCAAGCCUGAUCCAGCGAUACCGCGUGGGUGAAGAAGGCCUUGGGGUUGUAAAGCCCUUUUGUUGGGAGAGAAAAGCAGCAGGUUAAGACCCCGCUGUUCUGACGGUACCCAAAGAAUAAGCACCGGCUAACUUCGUG
rnacentral:rRNA from 1 species